rnacentral:lncRNA from 1 species
UUUUUGAAGGUAGAGUUUCAAAAGAAACUUUGAGAAAAAUGUUUAGAAGUGUAGAGAAAAUACAGGUCUAAAACAGACCUAAAAAAACUGAAAGAACCUUAAAUGUUAGGGUUUCAGAAGAACUCCAAUGGUGAAAAAGGUUUUGAAAACCAUCGAUCUAAGUAGGAGAGUCGAGUCAGACUCGAAUAGCCAUGGAUGGCCUGAACAAGGUCAAAGAUGACCAGAGACAGCUAUAAACGGAAAUUGACCAAGGUCUGUACCAAACUUUUCCAGGAUCUAGGAUUGAAUCCAUGAUAAUUGGGCAUGUAGAAGCCAUAUGAGGUGGAUACAGGUCUGUGAUGACCUUGGAAGCCAUUGAUUUGAGAGAUUUUAGGGUUGUACUUGAGGGGGCGGCUAGGGUUUUGAGAGGAUCUGAAGGAGAAAUGGGAUUUAGA